GGGACACGUGGUAUCCUGUCUGAAUAUGGGGGGACCAUCCUCCAAGGCUAAAUACUCCUGACUGACCGAUAGUGAACCAGUACCGUGAGGGAAAGGCGAAAAGAACCCCGGCGAGGGGAGUGAAAAAGAACCUGAAACCGUGUACGUACAAGCAGUGGGAGCACGCUUAGGCGUGUGACUGCGUACCUUUUGUAUAAUGGGUCAGCGACUUAUAUUCUGUAGCAAGGUUAACCGAAUAGGGGAGCCGAAGGGAAACCGAGUCUUAACUGGGCGUUAAGUUGCAGGGUAUAGACCCGAAACCCGGUGAUCUAGCCAUGGGCAGGUUGAAGGUUGGGUAACACUAACUGGAGGACCGAACCGACUAAUGUUGAAAAAUUAGCGGAUGACUUGUGGCUGGGGGUGAAAGGCCAAUCAAACCGGGAGAUAGCUGGUUCUCCCCGAAAGCUAUUUAGGUAGCGCCUCGUGAAUUCAUCUCCGGGGGUAGAGCACUGUUUCGGCAAGGGGGUCAUCCCGACUUACCAACCCGAUGCAAACUGCGAAUACCGGAGAAUGUUAUCACGGGAGACACACGGCGGGUGCUAACGUCCGUCGUGAAGAGGGAAACAACCCAGACCGCCAGCUAAGGUCCCAAAGUCAUGGUUAAGUGGGAAACGAUGUGGGAAGGCCCAGACAGCCAGGAUGUUGGCUUAGAAGCAGCCAUCAUUUAAAGAAAGCGUAAUAGCUCACUGGUCGAGUCGGCCUGCGCGGAAGAUGUAACGGGGCUAAACCAUGCACCGAAGCUGCGGCAGCGACGCUGAUGCGUUGUUGGGUAGGGGAGCGUUCUGUAAGCCUGCGAAGGUGUGCUGUGAGGCAUGCUGGAGGUAUCAGAAGUGCGAAUGCUGACAUAAGUAACGAUAAAGCGGGUGAAAAGCCCGCUCGCCGGAAGACCAAGGGUUCCUGUCCAACGUUAAUCGGGGCAGGGUGAGUCGACCCCUAAGGCGAGGCCGAAAGGCGUAGUCGAUGGGAAACAGGUUAAUAUUCCUGUACUUGGUGUUACUGCGAAGGGGGGACGGAGAAGGCUAUGUUGGCCGGGCGACGGUUGUCCCGGUU
rnacentral:rRNA from 1 species